rnacentral:rRNA from 1 species
AGGGCACCACCAGGAGUGGAGCCUGCGGCUUAAUUUGACUCAACACGGGAAAACUCACCCGGCCCGGACACUGGAAGGAUUGACAGAUUGAGAGCUCUUUCUUGAUUCAGUGGGUGGUGGUGCAUGGCCGUUCUUAGUUGGUGGAGUGAUUUGUCUGGUUAAUUCCGAUAACGAACGAGACUCUAGCCUAUUAGAUAGAUCGUUGGCUUACAAACGCCGGCGAGACUUCUUAGAGGGACAGGCGGCGAUUCAGCCGCACGAAACAGAGCAAUAACAGGUCUGUGAUGCCCUCAGAUGUCCGGGGCCGCACGCGCGCUACACUGAAGUGAUCAGCGUGCAUUUUGAAACCUACUCUGUCAAGAGUGGGGAACCCAAUGAACCUUCUUCGUGAUUGGGAUAGGGGAUUGUAAUUAUUCCCCUUGAACGAGGAAUUCCCAGUAAGCGCGAAUCAUAAGUUUGCGCUGAUUACGUCCCUGCCCUUUGUACACACCGCCCGUCGCUACUACCGAUUGAAUGUUU